rnacentral:rRNA from 1 species
UACGGAGGGUGCGAGCGUUAAUCGGAUUAACUGGGCGUAAAGGGCACGCAGGCGGGGUGUUAAGUGAGAUGUGAAAACCCCGGGCUUAACCUGGGAAUAGCAUUUCAGACUGGUAGUCUAGAGUGCUGUAGGGAGGGGUAGAAUUCCACGUGUAGCGGUGAAAUGCGUAGAGAUGUGGAGGAAUACCGAAGGCGAAGGCAGCCCCUUGGGAAUGUACUGACGCUCAUGUGCGAAAGCGUGGGGAGCAAACAGG